rnacentral:rRNA from 1 species
AGAGUUUGAUCAUGGCUCAGGACGAACGCUGGCGGCGUGCCUAAUACAUGCAAGUCGAGCGAGCUUGCCUAGAUGAUUUUAGUGCUUGCGCUAAAUGAAACUAGAUACAAGCGAGCGGCGGACGGGUGAGUAACACGUGGGUAACCUGCCCAAGAGACUGGGAUAACACCUGGAAACAGAUGCUAAUACCGG